UACGAAGGGGGCUAGCGUUGUUCGGAAUUACUGGGCGUAAAGCGCGCGCAGGCGGCCUUUCAAGUCGGUGGUGAAAUCCCAGAGCUCAACUCUGGAAUUGCCAUCGAAACUGUAAGGCUUGGGUACGGGAGAGGUGAGUGGAAUUCCGAGUGUAGAGGUGAAAUUCGUAGAUAUUCGGAAGAACACCAGUGGCGAAGGCGGCUCACUGGCCCGUUACCGACGCUCAGGCGCGACAGCGUGGGGAGCAAACAGG
rnacentral:ncRNA from 2 species